AACAUACUAUUAAUAUUUUAUUGAUGACCGUCGACUUUUGAUUUUUGAAUAAUUCGAUUAUUUGAAAUUUGAAAAGAAGACUACAUACGACGAGUUAGAAGAAAAUUAACAGACAAACAAAAGAUUUGGAGACGUUGCGGUUAAUGAUUUUAAUUCACCCAGACUAGCCAUAGCAACUUAAUAAUGUAUAAUUCACUCACACUUAUUUCAUACAAAAGGAUUAUACUUAUUAUGGUUUUCAAAACUGAAAUAUAUAAUGUGCUACAUACAAGGAGCUAGGUAGUGGAGCCAAUGUAUUGACAAUUUUACAGACGUUGACUUUUUAAAGAUAAUUCUGCCGGUUCAGAUGAAGCCAUACAAUACUGGAGUGAAUUAUGAAACUUAAAGGUUGCCGACAUAAAUAAUAUAAUAUAAUGAAAAGGUCAUCUAUAUACUAAGCACCGACCAUGGGCAAGGUCUAUCUAUUUUAAAUCAUGAUGUUAACCUUGCAGCUUAGAAUCUAUAGGGUUUAGGGUAGAACGACUGUAAAUUGGAAUCGUUUCCUUUUAAAUCCUGGUUCGCGGAACAGCGUUCAUCGGACUUCAAUAAAAUUUAAUGCCCGCCACCGAGUUGUACCUCCAAUUGUUGCCGACGUUUGAAUCACUCACAAAUUACAAUUAUAUGAAAUUUGAACAGAAAUGCGGACUACAUUCGUACAGAGUUGAAUUCAUACAUUUUAGAAAAAAAUGUCCAUGCAUAAGUGUAAAACAUCCAAAGUAUCGUCUCGGCACACUACCUUAAUUUUCAUUUAUUUUCAAAAAAUGAAAAUAGAAAGAAAUAAUGGGUAAACAUCUUCGAAUUAAAUGAUUAUCCCAAUUUCUGUCUGUCAUAGAAUCUGCGGUAAUCAUUUAUCAUUUCACAAUCAGUGAUUAUAAACAAUGUUCAGUAAAUUAGUAAAUAUGGUCAGAGGCUGUCUGAAAACUUAAACCAAACCACUUGUCUGGGAUAGAGAAGUAAAAUAAAUGUUAGUAAUUCAUGGCAAAAUUGGUACUACUCUGAGCACGACUAGUAAAUCGCAUCUAAGAGAAAAUUUUGUUUCUACAACGAUGAAUUAGAAGAAAAUGAACACACGAAUAAAAGAUUUGGAGUCCAUACAGUUGAUUAUUUUAAUUCACCCAGAAAAGCCUUAGAUACCCAAUAAUGUCUAAUUCACACACACUUAUCUCAUACAAUAAUGGAUUAUACUUAUUAUGGUUUUCAGAACUGAAAUAUAUGAUGUACCACAUACAAGGAGCUAGGUAGUGGAGACAGAAAGCAGAGUUCUAUUCAUACAUUUUAGUACAAAAUCACCAUGAAUAAGAGUAUUCUUUUCAGUAAAACAUCCAAUGUAUCGCCUUGCCACAUUACGUUAAUCUUCAUUUGUUUCCAAAAAAUGAAAAUAGAAGGAAAUAAUGGCUAAACAUCUUCAAAUUAAAUGAUUAUCCCAAUUUCUAUUUGGCAUAGAAUCUGCGGUAAUCAUUUCACAAUUAGUGAUUGUAUACAAUGCUCUCAAAACAUAAUCCAAACCACUUGUCUCGGAUGGAGGAGUUAAUUAAAUUUUAGUAAUUUACAGCGACAUUGGUAUUAUUCUAAGCACGACUAGUAAUUCGCAUCAAAGAGAAAAUUGUGUUUCUCGAACGAUGAUAAACCUACAAACAAAGGAUUUGGAGACGUUACAAUUUAUGAUUUCAAUUCACCCAAAAAACCCAGAAAAAAGCCUUAGAUACUCAAUAAUGUCUUAUUCACACACACUUAUGUAAUUAGACAUAUCACCUCGAUAUAUUUAAAUUGCAAAUAAACACAUAACUAGUUUGGACUUCAGUAUCUUUUCUAUAGGAAAAGUUAUUCUAGUUGGAUUACAGGUAAAAAUUGAAAAUUCUUAGGUGUUUUCAAAUACAUUGGGAAAAACAAAUAAAUAAUUAAGGAAAAAUGGUUAU